GCGGUAUUCUGACCGUGCAAAGGUAGCAUAAUCAUUUGCCUUAUAAUUGAGGGCUAGUAUGAAUGGGAGUACAAAAGGUUUUCUUUAUUUUUAGAAUAAAUGUAAUUUGCUUUUUUAGUGAAGAAGCUAAAAUUUUAUUAAAGGACAAGAAGACCCUUUUGAGUUUUAUUUUUUUCAUUUGUUUUUUAAUUUGAUAAAAUUUGGUUGGGGCGACCGAGGAAGAUUAUAUCUUCCUUAUUUUAUUUAGAUCCAUACUUUUUGAUUGAUAGAUUAAAUUACCAAAGGGAUAACAGCGUUAUUUUUUUUGAGAGUUCUUAUUGAAAAUUAAGAUUGGCACCUCGAUGU
rnacentral:rRNA from 1 species